CAGCAGCCGCGGGAAUACGUAGGUCCCGAGCGUUGUCCGGAUUUAUUGGGCGUAAAGCGAGCGCAGGCGGUUAGAUAAGUCUGAAGUUAAAGGCUGUGGCUUAACCAUAGUACGCUUUGGAAACUGUUUAACUUGAGUGCAAGAGGGGAGAGUGGAAUUCCAUGUGUAGCGGUGAAAUGCGUAGAUAUAUGGAGGAACACCGGUGGCGAAAGCGGCUCUCUGGCUUGUAACUGACGCUGAGGCUCGAAAGCGUGGGGAGCAAACAGGAUUAGAUACCCGAGUAGUCCCUGUCUCUUAUACC
rnacentral:rRNA from 1 species